rnacentral:rRNA from 1 species
GACGAACGCUGGCGGCGUGCUUAACACAUGCAAGUCGAACGGAAGGGCCCUGCUUUUGUGGGGUGCUCGAGUGGCGAACGGGUGAGUAACACGUGAGUAACCUGCCCUUGACUUUGGGAUAACUUCAGGAAACUGGGGCUAAUACCGGAUAGGAGCUCCUGCUGCAUGGUGGGGGUUGGAAAGUUUCGGCGGUUGGGGAUGGACUCGCGGCUUAUCAGCUUGUUGGUGGGGUAGUGGCUUACCAAGGCUUUGACGGGUAGCCGGCCUGAGAGGGUGACCGGCCACAUUGGGACUGGGAUACGGCCCAGACUCCUACGGGAGGCAGCAGUGGGGAAUAGUGCACAAUGGGCGGAAGCCUGAUGCAGCAACGCCGCGUGCGGGAUGACGGCCUUCGGGUUGUAAACCGCUUUCGCCUGUGACGAAGCGUGAGUGACGGUAAUGGGUAAAGAAGCACCGGCUAACUACGUG